CAUGAAGUCGAACGAGAGAAGAGAAGCUUGCUUUUCUGAUCUAGUGGCGGACGGGUGAGUAACACGUGAGCAAUCUGCCUUUCAGAGGGGGAUACCGAUUGGAAACGAUCGUUAAUACCGCAUAACAUAAUUGAACCGCAUGAUUUGACUAUCAAAGAUUUAUCGCUGAAAGAUGAGCUCGCGUCUGAUUAGCUGGUUGGUAAGGUAACGGCUUACCAAGGCGACGAUCAGUAGCCGGACUGAGAGGUUGAUCGGCCACAUUGGGACUGAGACACGGCCCAGACUCCUACGGGAGGCAGCAGUGGGGAAUAUUGCACAAUGGAGGAAACUCUGAUGCAGCGAUGCCGCGUGAGGGAAGAGGGUUUUAGGAUUGUAAACCUCUGUCUUCAGGGACGAAAAAAUGACGGUACCUGAGGAGGAAGCUCCGGCUAACUACGUGCCAGCAGCCGCGGUAAUACGUAGGGAGCGAGCGUUGUCCGGAAUUACUGGGUGUAAAGGGAGCGUAGGCGGGAUCGCAAGUCAGAUGUGAAAACUAUGGGCUUAACCCAUAAACUGCAUUUGAAACUGUGGUUCUUGAGUGAAGUAGAGGUAAGCGGAAUUCCUAGUGUAGCGGUGAAAUGCGUAGAUAUUAGGAGGAACAUCAGUGGCGAAGGCGGCUUACUGGGCUUUAACUGACGCUGAGGCUCGAAAGCGUGGGGAGCAAACAGGAUUAGAUACCCUGGUAGUCCACGCCGUAAACGAUGAUUACUAGGUGUGGGGGGACUGACCCCUUCCGUGCCGCAGCAAACGCAAUAAGUAAUCCACCUGGGGAGUACGACCGCAAGGUUGAAACUCAAAGGAAUUGACGGGGGCCCGCACAAGCAGUGGAGUAUGUGGAUUAAUUCGAAGCAACGCGAAGAACCUUACCAGGUCUUGACAUCGUAUGCAUAGCUCA
rnacentral:rRNA from 1 species